GAAAAUUACAAGCAUAAGCUCAAAACUCAAAGGACUUGGCGGCGCUUUAGAUCCACCUAGAGGAGCCUGUCCUAUAACCGAUAACCCCCGUUAAACCUUACCUUCUUUUGCCUUCAGUUUAUAUACCGCCGUCGUCAGCUUACCCUUUGAGGGUCUUAUUAGUAAGCAAGCUCGGUCAAGCCCCAGACGUCAGGUCGAGGUGUAGCAUAUAAGAAGUGAAGAGAUGGGCUACAUUUCCUAAAUUAGGGUCCACGGAUAAUGUUUUGAAACAAACAUAUUGAAGUAGGAUUUAGCAGUAAGUAAAAAAUAGAGUGUUUU
rnacentral:rRNA from 1 species